rnacentral:rRNA from 1 species
AUGACUCUCAGGAAUUGAUAUCUCAGCUCUCGCAUCGAUGAAGAACGUAGCGAAAUGCGAUACUUGGUGUGAAUUGCAGAAUCCCGUGAAUCAUGGAAUCUUUGAGCGCAAGUUGUGCCCCAAGCCAUAUGGCCGAAGGCACGUCUGCCAAGGUGUCACGC